AUGAAGAACGUAGCGAAAUGCGAUAAGUAAUGUGAAUUGCAGAAUUCAGUGAAUCAUCGAAUCUUUGAACGCACAUUGCGCCCGCCAGUAUUCUGGCGGGCAUGCCUGUCCGAGCGUCAUUUCAACCCUCGAACCCCUCCGGGGGGUCGGCGUUGGGGAUCGGGAACCCCUAAGACGGGAUCCCGGCCCCGAAAUACAGUGGCGGUCUCGCCGCAGCCUCUCCUGCGCAGUAGUUUGCACAACUCGCACCGGGAGCGCGGCGCGUCCACGUCCGUAAAACACCCAACUUCUGAAAUGUUGACCUCGGAUCAGGUAGGAAUACCCGCUGAACUUAAGCAUAUCAAUAAGCGGAGGA
rnacentral:misc_RNA from 1 species